rnacentral:lncRNA from 1 species
UCGAUAGUCCAAUUUGUCACAUGGCCGCUUGGUCUUGAUAUUCCGUCGAAGAAGCCAUACUUUACUUCCAACUUUAAAAGUAGGCGCCUCAUUUCGAUAUUUAUCUGCAGAUGCCUUGUAACUCUCUUGGGCAGAUUGCAAUUGAAGCUUCAACAUCGCUUGAAGCUCCGAUAGUUGCUUCACAAAUCCUUCAGCUGCUGGGUUGUUAUUUGCUGAAGAACUCAAUAAAUCGAGCUUGGGGUGGUAUCCGUAGU